rnacentral:rRNA from 1 species
GAAGUAGCAAUACUUAGUGGCAGACGGGUGAGUAACAUGUGGCGUAUCUUCCCUUUGGUGAGGAAUAACACGAGGAAACUUGUGCUAAUACCUCAUAAGUCUUUACGGAGAAAGCUUUAUGCGCCAAUGGAUGAGCCCGCACUUGAUUAGUUUGUUGGUGGGGUAAUGGCCUACCAAGACUUUGAUCAAUAGCUGAUCUGAGAGGAUGAUCAGCCACAUUGGGACUGAGACACGGCCCAAACUCCUACGGGAGGCAGCAGUAGGGAAUAUUGCACAAUGGAGGAAACUCUGAUGCAGCGAUGCCGCGUGAGUGAAGAAGGCCUUUGGGUUGUAAAGCUCUUUCGUCGGGGAAGAAAAUGACGGUACCCGAAUAAGAAGGUCCGGCUAACUUCGUGCCAGCAGCCGCGGUAAUACGAAGGGACCUAGCGUAGUUCGGAAUUACUGGGCUUAAAGAGUUCGUAGGUGGUUAAAAAAGUUGGUUGUGAAAUCCCGAAGCUUAACUUCGGAACUGCAAUCAAAACUUUUUAGCUAGAGUAUGAUAGAGGAAAGCAGAAUUUCUAGUGUAGAGGUGAAAUUCGUAGAUAUUAGAAAGAAUACCAAUUGCGAAGGCAGCUUUCUGGAUCAUUACUGACGCUGAGGAACGAAAGCAUGGGUAGCGAAGAGGAUUAGAUACCCUCGUAGUCCAUGCCGUAAACGAUGUGUGUUAGACGUUGGAAAUUUAUUUUCAGUGUCGCAGCGAACGCAGUAAACACACCGCCUGGGGAGUACGACCGCAAGGUUAAAACUCAAAUGAAUUUGACGGGG